rnacentral:lncRNA from 1 species
GUCUCUGCGCAGUCAUGUUACCGCUGACACGAGGAAGUGUACCGGUACACUUUGGGCUUGUAACAUAUCAGAUUUUGAUAUAAAAGUAAAAAAGAAAUAAAAAUAGUGUGAGAUACUAUUUUUAUUGGAUUUAGAGAAGUAAAAUAUAAGUCGGAAACGACUUGUGCUGAAAUCGGAACGAAAAAAAAAGAUUUAGAAUUUUCUGUGAGAAACGAGACUGAUAUUUUAGAAGAAAAUGCACAGUGUCAGAAAAUUAUGAAAACUGGAGAAUAUGUCGGAAUUAUUUUUAUGAGGCUAGAUUUAAAGUUUCAUGUCAAUCCGUUACCCAGAAGGUGGAAAGUAAAAUUCGACUACUAUAUGCUAGAGAUUACAGUUCGGUAGAGCUUUCGGUGAGCAAAUAUGGUCGAAACUGAAAGAUUAAAAUUUCUUUGUACUUAUUCAGUAAAACUG